UAUUUUUGCUGCAUCUUGGUAAUUUGUGCAUUUUGAGGGACUGAAUCUUGGUGUUUUGGGGGUUUACAUAGGCACCAGAUUCCCAGUGACUUCUAGAGUGUGCAGGCAGAGGGGCCCAACAUUGGAACUGCAAUAGCUCAGGGCAAAGGUGACCAGGGUCAGAGAGAGACACCCCUCUGAGGACAAUGGUCUCACCAUAAGCAUUUGCAGGCUCAUGUGAAUGCAGCAGGCUUCAUUGGUAUCACCCAGUCCAGCUGCCCUUUUUUCCUUAUAUGUACUCCCCCUAGAAUGUUCUCCCAUCUCUUGUCCCCUAUUGGUCCCGGUUUACUGCAAUGCUCCGCCCCUGUUACCUCAUUGGUUCCCCAGUUGGCUGCCCCUCCUCUGCACCACUUGUGCUCAGUUCCCAUUGGCCCUUGGCCCUCAGACCCGCCCCUUCCCCCCUUAUCAAACUCUGUGUCCUCAGCCCCAUUUUGUCUCUGUCUUUGGAUCCCCUGCAUUGCAAUAAACUGUGUUUGGAGCUGUGCACACAGACCCGUCUCUGGCCUUGUCCGUCAGCAGGAUUUCUCAUUCCCAAACCUUGGCCGGAUGGAGGAGGAGGCUGUGAGGAAGAGGAAGAAGCCCUGGAACACGCAGGCAGAAAAGGAGCUGAGGAUGGAGAGCAGGGAGGAAAAAUCCCCACAGAAGAACCCCAUGGAAGAGGCUGUAUUGAGCAGCUCAACGGCACAGGAAUCCAACAGAGAGGAAAAGCCCCAGAGAUCCCACAGGACCAGGGGCUCCAAACCCAGCCCAGGUUGCUCUGAGGUGGACAGACCCACCCUGUGCCAGGAAGGUGGACAGAGCUUCAGGCAGAGCUGGUGGCCCAUGAGCAGCUUCAUGAUGCGGAGAAGCCCUAGAAGCGUUUGGAGUGUGGGAAGAGCUUCAGGAAGAGCAGCACCCUGAUCCGCCACCAGAUGAUCCACACUGGGGAAUGGGCCUACGAGUGUGGGGAGUGUGGGAAGGGCUUCAGGUGCGGCUCUGAGCUCGUCAUCCACCAACGCAUCCACACUGGGGAGAGACCCUAUGAAUGUCCCCAGUGUUGGAAGAGGUUUCACACCAGUUCCAAUCUCCUCCUUCGCGAGCGGAUU